UACGAAGGGUGCAAGCGUUACUCGGAAUUACUGGGCGUAAAGCGUGCGCAGGCGGUUGUGCAAGACAGAUGUGAAAUCCCCGGGCUCACCUGGGAACUGCAUUUGUGACUGCACGGCUGGAGUGCGGCAGAGGGGGAUGGAAUUCCGCGUGUAGCAGUGAAAUGCGUAGAUAUGCGGAGGAACACCGAUGGCGAAGGCAGCCCCCUGGGCUAACACUGACGCUCAUGCACGAAAGCGUGGGGAGCAAACAGG
rnacentral:rRNA from 1 species